CAGUACUCUUAUCCUUGAAUGGGUGAAGCAACCGAAACCAUUACUCUUUAGAUAGGAACUUUAAACUUUAAAAGUUAACUCCAUAUCAAUCCAAUCCAUCAUACCAGGAAGAAAACCCCCCAAAAAUAAACGGCACAGGUACAGUGUAAGUAUUAUUUAAAUGCUAGACUAGUUACAAUUAUCACUUAUAUGACUUAUUAUUUUUUGAAUAUCACUGUAUGGGAAAAGCACUACAAUACACUGUCUGCUUAGGAUAAUUCUAUAACCUUACCUUUAAAGGUAAGGCAACCACUCUUUUUCAGUGAGCAUGAAUAAUAUUGUAUGCAAUGCAUGUUCACCUAGAUAGAGGUAAACACUUUCCCAUCAAGGACCCAAGACAGGAGCUGACUAAUGGAAGCGAUGUGAAACUUAAAGAAUACAGAAAAUAUAGAAAUACAAUAUUUUGAAUUAAAAUAUCUACCAUUGAAUUAACCAUUAAAUUGCCUGAUAUUGACAAACAGCAGACAAUGCAUUAACAAAACGACAGAAAUCAAAACUCUGACAGACUCCAACAUUUUACUGUAUGAAGCAUAAUUAAUCGUCAUUUCUUUUUCUCUCAAAAUGUGCAGCUACUCUCAAAGACCUAUCAAUUUCGGCCCACUGGAAAUUUGCAAUUCAAAAACUCACAGAUUAUGCUGCAUAAUGGCUUAAAAGUAGUGGACUAAUAUAGACAUCACAUGUCACACAUACUCAUACUGGUCAGACAAACAAAAGAUAAUGGGGAUUUAAUCGAUUUUAUAGUGUGCUUCUAGUUGGGUCCAGUAACUGAAAUGAGCAAAGUUCUUGGCAAAGGUACUAUCAUUUUUCUCUCACCUUCUAGUACCUACCAGCGUUGAUGAUGAAACAAUGACUCCCAGGGUCUAUUUACCUAUAAAAAUGUUUUACCGUGUGUUUCAAGUAUUUUUUUGGCUGACACGGUGAGUGAGUCGGUGAGUGAGUCACACGGGGAGUGCGAGAGUUUGGUACAAAAGGGAUAUUAAUGGAAAAUAGUCAUUCAUAAGGAUAGUUGUGCCAUCACUGUGUAGAGCGGGUACCAUAUGGGCUGAGGCCUCAAGGUACCAGCCCGUGUUUGAAUCCGGCUUGGGCCAUAUAUAUAUAGAUAGAUGGAUCUCUCUCUCAUUGUCCAUUGGAUCAGUCCAGUUAACUUUCUAGCCACACCCUAUAAAAAGGGAGUCCGAUUGGUUUGUUGAUUGAGGGCAAAUAUCUGCAUGUCAAGGUAGAUUUAUUUCAUACCCAUAGGUAAAAUUGUUUUACAGAUAAAUGGAAUUUUGUUGUCCAGAAAAAACACAUACAAGACACAACAAUUCACAACAAAUAUAUCGUUAAUAACAUCAUGACAGGCUGCACCAAACACAUGCAUAUCCCUUAUUGUCUCUCAUUAUUAUUUAAAACCUCAAUUGCUGCAGGAACAAAUGUAUUCCUGUAGCGUUUCAUUUUCCAUCUCGGGACCACAAACCGGCAACCCGAGGGAAGUAACUGAAACCCGUUGCUUAAUCCGAGUCGGUGAUCGCGCCGGCGCGAUCAGAGCGCAGGUCGACUUUAGGCUCGCGCAGCAUGAAAACCAAGUGAAGCAGAGGGCUGCCGUCAAUUUCAUGCGGAAGUGCAGACCUGAGGCUACGUUUGAGUGUUUGAUUUUUGUAAAUCCGCCAAGUAAAACUUAAGAUAUGAUCAUUUCAAUUUCAUGAAAAAAGUGCAUCAAAAAAUGGCUCUUUUAUGCGCGCGUUGCAUUUAUUUUAAUAUUUUUCUCGUUUUUUGUACAAAAAUGAAACGGAGAAAAACUGUGGUUUCUGCUGACUCAUAGCUAUAGGAUGCAGGAGAAAGCGAGAAGACAAAGAGACGUCUAAGAAAAAACGAAUUAGGUUUAUUAUGACUAGUUUUCGAAGUAUUUUGAGUAAUUUUGGGGCGAUUUUGAGUAGUAUAGUUAUAUAUUUGGACUUAUUUGGGGGGAAAUGAGGCGGACACGCUGUCUAACAUGCCGUCAACUUGUUAUUUCAACCGAAGAGCAAAAAAGAAAAAAAAUGGACGACCAAGAUUUUUUUGUUUACAACGAGAGGUGAGAAAAACAUUUAUUGCUUUCGUUUAUCUUAUUAUAUUAUUCUUUUCUACUUCACUGUAGUACAAAUGCCUCAGAACAUCUUGAUUUUUGAAUCUUUUACAUCUUUGAAUUUUUUUUAUUGACAUACAGAGAAUAAAGAGCCAUUGCCACGGAGGUCAAAGAGAAAGUUAUAAAUGAGCCAAGUAUGACAUGUAGUGGCGAAAAAAAGAUACCAUGGGCUUGGAUAUGGAGCCAUAUAACAGCUGGAGCUGAAUGGUCGUUAUAACAACCCAUUUAAUUGAAUCAGGUGUGUUGGAGCAGGGAAACAUCUAAAACAUGCAGAACAGCAGCCCUCGAGGACCAGGGUUUAGUUUCAAAGAGCACAUAAUAAUAGCAAGGAACAGGUCCAGUGCCGGUCUUCCCCAGUCUAAAGCUAGGGACGAAAAGGUGGUCUUGGCCAUCAUCUGACAGAGGGGUGGCAGAGAUCCGGCACACAGGACUUGAGGGCAGAUGCGUAGGGGUGUCAACUUGUGACAUUGGAGCUGAGGACAGAGGCAGAGCUUACUGGGCUCCUGAGGUCCGCUGAGAGGAUCUGCUUGCCUUCCACAUGAUCCUUGAACCUCCGCCGGG